rnacentral:lncRNA from 1 species
UGAUGAGGCGCCAGGGGUGAAGCAAGGCAUGGGCUGCUGGAGCGGGAAUUCGGGGGCGCCAGUGGCUCCGGAAACGGGGGAGGUUGUCUGCCCUGGCCUCUCCGGAAAUACAUCCUCUGUGAAGUUGCAGCUGCUCUGCAGCCAGGUACUAAAGAGCUGCUGGGACAGGGGAAUGAUGAUCCAGGCUAGGGGUGAGGGGCUGGUGAAUAGGGUACUGGCACCCCCCGAAGGUCUCCUUUCCCCAUAGUAUGAGAAGAUCCUGAAGCUCAUGGCUGAUGCCAAGUUUGAGCAAGCGGCCGGCCUGUGCCGCUGUUAUGAGGAGAAGCAAAGCCCCUUGCAGAAGCACUUGCGGAUCUGCAGCCUACGCAGCAAGUAUGAGGCCAGCCAGGGUCCAGGCUCCUUCUAGAAGGUGCAUGCAGCACAAAGUGCAUGGAGAGUCCAGGGAGACAACUUAACCAUGGUCACAUACCAAGCAGCUGCAGAGCUGGGACCUGACCCUGGCUCUCCUGACUCCGCGGGCUGUGGAUUUGUACCUACAGGAUCAGACCUUGCCCUUUCCUCCUGGCUGACCCUUCCCUAGUCCCCUGUGCCCCAUGUGUGAGCACCCAGCUCACUCUUAUUCCUCCCUCUCCAAAGCAUGGUCCCUGGGAGCACCAGGGGCAAAAGGGGCAGCAGAGACUGUGGACCCCUCAGCUGCACCUAAGACCUCUGUGUGGUCUAGCUAUGUGUGCUGGGGGAGGCUUUUGGCCACCAUUUCCCCCUCUGUAAAUGAGACCGAUACCUGUGGCAUGGAGGGCGGGAGGCCGGUGUGAGUGACAAGCACUUGGAGCAGGGCCCUGAGUGAGCAUGGACUUGGAAACGGGUGUUCCUUGACCUUAUGCACCUUGGGAAUGGGAGUGGGGCUCCCUGCGUGGGUUGAUAGUUCAUUGCUUUCCCCCACUCUGCCUCUUUCCCAGCCCUGCAAGUCCAGUCAUUGGGGGUCCAGAAGGGAAGAAGCCCCUGGCUGUGUUACUUUGGGCUGGUGCCUGGCCCUCUCUGGCUCUGAGUUCCUGGGAACGUCAGCACCCAAGCCAUGCCCUCAAGUUUAGCACCUUGACAAGAAAGGCGGGGACACUGGGAUCAGGCCCACCCCCCUGGCCUUAAACCCUAUGGCCCCAGCUGGAGGAUGAGGAGGUGCUGGGCUUGGAUGGGGGAAUCAGGGGUGUAAAGGGAUCUGCUCGCCCCUCAGCUUGGCUCAAAGGCUCGAGGCAUCAAUGGUUGAGCCUGCCCCUCAGGAAGCAGCCCGGGCCCAGCCAGACACUCACCAGGACGAGGGCAACUCUGACGAGCAGGAGGCCCAGGAUGAGGAGAGCCAUGGCAUAGCUGGAGAUGAAGACGCCCAGCGGGCUGGAGGCUUUGGGGCCAGGAGUGCCUAGAGCAGAGCUAGAAGACUAUGACCAGGUGGAGCCCUGCCUCCCAGACUUCUGAGAAGGCAGAAUCUGGGCCCAGAAGGUGUUGUGGGACCAGAGAUCUGGGGCUAGGAGCAUCUUGGAGGGCUCCAUGAGGUGGGGAGGCAGGCUUCAGAUCAGGGCAUGUGGAGUAGGCAGAUGGACAGAGGGAGAGGGCCUGCAGAGGGAAGGAGGUACUGACUGAGGUCUGGGAUGACGGGUGUGCAGACCCUGGUGCAAACAGUCCCAGGAAGCUUUUACUCCUGGGGGGAGGCGGAGAGGGAGCAGGCCUGUCGCAUGGUGAGAGAGGAAGAAAGAGAGAGGAGGCAUCAGGCUCUUUUAAACAACCAGCUCUCCUGUGAACUGAUAAAAAACUCACUCAUUGAAUCACUUGAACCUGGGAGAUGGAGGGUGCAGUGAGCUGAGAUCACACCACUGCACUCCAGCCUGGGCUGUGAGUGAACUCUGUCUCAAAAAAAAAAAAAAAAAGAAAAAAAAA